CAGGAAGUGUGAUCCAGACUGCUUGUAGGGCUGGCAGCUUCGUCCGGAAGUCCUUUGACGCGGGAUUUUAAAAUGUCGGAGCAACGCGGAUCCUGCUGAAUACGUGGUGAUGGCUUACUGUUGACAAGACCAGAGGCAGUAACAAGAAUUUUCUGCUUAUACGAGGUAUUUCUGAAAAGAAUUCUUCCUAGCAACAUUCUAUUUAAAAAAAGACUCAUGUAGCAGAGGACAUUGUUGCAAGAUUUGCAUACAAAGGACAAUUAUGUAAACACUGUAAGUUUGUACAUUUAUCUAAUAUUCAAGUAGACAGGGUUUGAAUCCCAGAAGGGUAUGGCUAGCUGAUGAGAGCUAAAUAGCUUGAAAUAGAUCUAUACUAGUCUCCCUUUAUUUCUUUGUCGGUAAACAUAAAUUCAACACUGUAAGUCUGUGUUACUGAUAUAAAUAAAAUGACUAGCAUGAGAGAUCA